rnacentral:rRNA from 1 species
AGAGAUGUGUGAUGACGCAUAUCAAUAAGCGGAGGAAAAGAAACUAACAAGGAUUCCCUUAGUAACGGCGAGUGAAGCGGGAAGAGCUCAAAUUUGAAAUCUUCAAGGUUCUACCUUGACGAAUUGUAGUUUAUAGAAGUGUUUUCUGUUAGUAGAGUGGCAAAAGUUCUUUGGAAUAGGACAUCAUAGAGGGUGAGAAUCCCGUAUUUGGUCAUUCUUUCUAGCUUUGUGAUACACUUUCAACGAGUCGGAUUGUUUGGGAAUGCAGUCCAAAAUGGGUGGUAAAUUUCAUCUAAAGCUAAAUAUUGGCGAGAGACCGAUAGCGAACAAGUACCGUGAGGGAAAGAUGAAAAGAACUUUGAAAAGAGAGUUAAACAGUACGUGAAAUUGUCAAAAGGGAAGCGUUUGACACCAGUGUUGUUUAGUUCGAAAAUCAAUUCAAGAAUGUUUUGAUUUUGAGUAAGUUAUUGACUUCAUCAGCUUGCUUCUCUCUUUCUGAAAUUAUUGAAUGCACUUUUCAGGUUAACAAGUCAACAUCAAUUUCUUUUGUUGUAAAAGGGUAUGAGGAAGGUGGCUUUCUUUUCGGAGAAAGUGUUUAUAGCCUUGUACCUCUGCAAUCGGAGAGAUUGAGGUCUGCAGCGUAGAUCCUUCGGGGUUAGAUACAUUUGUGCUAAGUUAUAGCUUUUCAUAGACAACUUGUUGACUAUGUUAAGUCUUGUAGCUUACUCGCUUAUGCUAUUUUACCUACGCUUAGGAUGUUGAAGAUGUAGCACAUCAU